GAUUGUCAUGAAUUCACCCUCAGAACUCUAAGCUCCAAUAAGCUCUUUCUGCUCACAAGGACUUGAACUUCAAAAGAAGAUUUUCACUUGACCAGAAAACAGGAAAACAGGGUCCACAACUGGGUGAGACUGAUGCUGAUUUUUCUCCCCUGGUAGUGUACACAGCAAUGUCCAGC